AUUGAACGCUGGCGGCAUGCUUUACACAUGCAAGUCGAACGGCAGCGCGGGCUUCGGCCUGGCGGCGAGUGGCGAACGGGUGAGUAAUGCAUCGGAACGUGCCCAGUAGUGGGGGAUAGCCCGGCGAAAGCCGGAUUAAUACCGCAUACGACCUGAGGGUGAAAGCGGGGGACCGAAAGGCCUCGCGCUAUUGGAGCGGCCGAUGUCGGAUUAGCUAGUUGGUGGGGUAAAGGCUUACCAAGGCGACGAUCCGUAGCUGGUCUGAGAGGACGACCAGCCAACACGGGAAUUAGGCACGGCCCCGACCCCUUAGGGAGGGAGCAGUGGGGAAUUUUGGACAAAGGGGGGAAACCUGGUCCCAGCCAGCCGGGGGGGGGAAAAAGGCCCUUGGGUUGGAAAACGGUUUUGUUCGGGAAGAAAAUCUUCUGGGUAAUACCCCGGGGGGAUGACGGUACCGGAAGAAUAAGCACCGGCUAACUACGUG
rnacentral:rRNA from 1 species